UGGGGAAUUUUGGACAAUGGGCGAAAGCCUGAUCCAGCAAUGCCGCGUGUGUGAAGAAGGCCUUCGGGUUGUAAAGCACUUUUGUCCGGAAAGAAAUCCUUGGCUCUAAUACAGUCGGGGGAUGACGGUACCGGAAGAAUAAGCACCGGCUAACUACGUGCCAGCAGCCGCGGUAAUACGUAGGGUGCAAGCGUUAAUCGGAAUUACUGGGCGUAAAGCGUGCGCAGGCGGUUUGCUAAGACCGAUGUGAAAUCCCCGGGCUCAACCUGGGAACUGCAUUGGUGACUGGCAGGCUAGAGUAUGGCAGAGGGGGGUAGAAUUCCACGUGUAGCAGUGAAAAUGCGUAGAGAUGUGGAGGAAUACCGAUGGCGAAGGCAGCCCCCUGGGCCAAUACUGACGCUCAUGCACGAAAGCGUGGGGAGCAAACAGGAUUAGAUACCCUGGUAGUCCACGCCCUAAAACGAUGUCAACUAGUUGUUGGGGAUUCAUUUCCUUAGUAACGUAGCUAACGUGUGAAGUUGACCGCCUGGGGAGUACGGUCGCAAGAUUAAAACUCAAAUGAAUUGACGGGGUCAUAGCUGUUUCCU
rnacentral:rRNA from 1 species